rnacentral:misc_RNA from 1 species
AAAUGCGAUAAGUAGUGUGAAUUGCAGAAUUCAGUGAAUCAUCGAAUCUUUGAACGCACCUUGCGCCCCUCGGUAUUCCGUGGGGCAUGCCUGUUCGAGCGUCAUCUACACCCUCAAGCUCUGCUUGGUGUUGGGCGUCUGUCCCGCCUCCUUCGCGCGCGGACUCGCCCCAAAUCCAUUGGCGGCGGCCCUUGCCUCCCUCUCGCGCAGCACAUUGCGCUUCUCGAGGCGCGGCGGACCGCGUCCAGCAAGCAACCGUCACACCGUCUUUGACCUCGGAUCAGGUAGGGAUACCCGCUGAACUUAAGC